rnacentral:snoRNA from 1 species
AUCAAUGAUGACAAAAUCCCAAUAAGCGAUUCGCUACGGUGAACGUGACACCUAAGAUUAGUCUUUCUGAUUU